rnacentral:rRNA from 1 species
CCCUUAGAUGUUCUGGGCCGCACGCGCGCUACACUGACGGAGCCAACGAGUAUUUUCCUUGUCCGGAAGGACUGGGUAAUCCUGUGAAACUUUGUCGUGCUGGGGAUAGAGCAUUGUAAUUAUUGCUCUUCAACGAGGAAUUCCUAGUAAGCGUGAGUCAUCAGCUCACGUUGAAUACGUCCCUGCCCUUUGUACACACCGCCCGUCGCUCCUACCGAUUGAGUGGUCCGGUGAGGCUUUGGGAUCUGAGCGGAAAGAGCGUUUCGCUGUUUCUGCUCGGAAAACUCAGUCGAACCUUAUCAUUUAGAGGAAGGAGAAGUCGUAACA